GAUACUCAGGGCACACAGCAUAUAGAGUAUUCUUGUUCCGCAAAAAACAGUACCUCUGCUGCUGCUGUACACUCUGCUGCUUCAGAGUCGCUGUUUAACACUGUGGGUUCACCCUUGAAUUCUUCCUGGAUGAAGCCAAGAACCCUCCUGGGCUAAGCCUCAAUUUUGGGGCUUGCCUGUCCUGCGUCAGCAUGAGUACGGACUUUGGGGUUACAAAUAGGUGCAUUUGCAAAUAUGGAAUCCACGAAUGAUGAAGAUAGACUAUCACUGGGUACCACCGGAAUUCUCUGACCUGAUAACUUCAUAUGCAAAUCCUGGCUGAUGAUGAAGGUUUAAGAAGCAGCAUCAUCAGCGAACUGUGUUUUGAAGAUUUGAGGGAAGGGCUGACCUCAGGAUUUUAUACUAGUUGCUGACCUCCAUAACAGCAGACAAAAUUGGAAGCAAGAGUGAUUUUGGAGGAGUCACACUUAGAUGUUUCCCUUACCUAUUUCUGUUCUGGAAAUUUAAAAAUCUUACUUCUCGUGACAGUCCUACAUGAAAAAUUAAAAAUCACAAGGAUUCAUGGAUGGAAAACUGAGACUCAGAGAAUGAUCACAUUCACAUCGUAAUAAAUCAGCAAUAGAGUGAGUGAUUGUUCCUUGGUAAGAAAUCAACUCUAAACUCAGUUGGAAACCUUUGCCAAUAUUACUUAACACAUGACAAUCUGGUGUGACUCAUUUUUCUUGACAUUAUGCAAAUAAAGGAAACAAGACUGAGUGGCCUUCUGUCCGGAGAGCAGGAAAUGAAGGCUGUCUGGGGCCACAUGUUUCCUGGGACAUGUGGUGUCAGAAAUGGGUACUAGAAGAACCAGGCCUUUGUUCAUGUCUUUUAUUUUUUAUUUUUGUUUUUUUUUAGAUGGAGUCUCACUCUGUCGCCCAGGCUGAAGUGCAGUGGCACUGUCUCGGCUCAUUGCGACCUCCGCCUCACCGGUUCAAGCAAUUCUCCUGCCUCAGCCUCCCGAGUAGCUGGGAUUAUAGGCGCCCGCCACUACACCCAGCUAAUUUUUGUAUUUUUAGUAGAGACAUGGUUUCACCAUGUUAGCCAGGCUGGUCUAGAACUCAUGACCUCGUGAUCCACCCGCCUCCGCCUCCCAAAGUGCUGGGAUUACAGGCGUGAGCCACGGUGCCUGGCUGCCAUUGUUCAUUUCUAUUUCAUGAGUGAUCGGCUCUUGUUGGCCAUGGCUGGAGGAGUCAGCUCCCAAAAUCCACACUCUCUAGGAGUGCUGAACCAUAAAUAAUCUAUCAGGACUCCUAGAUUCCACUCUCUAGAGCUGCAACCAGAAGUUCCUUCCUUCCCGGCCCUGCUUCCCACUAAAGGAAACAUUUGACUUUUGGGGAUGAGAUGUUUCAAGCCAGCCAAUCCUUCUCACAGGAAGCAGAACCCCAGCCACCAUGGAGCUUAUCCUUGGGGCGCAGAGAAACACUGACCUAAUGCUGUAAUCAAGUACUGGAUUUUAUUUUUAAAUCUUUUUACCUCACAAGCUGACUUUAUUCUGGCUAGAGGGCUCCUGAACCUCUGUAAACUCCCCAGGAGGUAAUUUCCAGUGCUAAUCUCGCUAACGAGGUGUCAGUUACAGAAAUGGCCCACGCCCUGGUUUCUUCUAAGUGGACAUUACAGUGUUUCUUCAGAGGGGCCUGUGCUGGGACACCUCGGAAAUGGAAGAAUUUAUAGCAAGGAUGUUAUUUCUCACUAAGUGAGCAGAAGAGCUGGAAGAUCUCUUUAGAGAUCAUUAGAAGGAUGGGGAAACUGAGGCUCAGAGAAGGGCAGUGGCUGCCCGAGGCCACAGAGCUGAGUGGCAGCAGGGUUGGGUUAGAGACUGGACCUUGUGGCGGAGCUGGCCUGCUUUGGGCUGUUCCACACACCACUGACUUUCUAGAUUGUUUCAUGUUCAUGGAAUCAUCCUCAAACUCUACUCCCCAAAAUUGUACCAUAGAUUAACUUCGGGCACCCCCCAAGUCAAAACUUCAACAGCUAAGGGACACGGAUCAUGCGGCCUGCUGAACACGCCAUCAAGUGGGGCAAAGUCUUCUUUCUUUGUGAUCAGGGUAUGCACUCUCCCUUGGCCUCUGAAUAAGCUGUACCCAGGGUUCCUCGAUGACUCAGCUGCAGCAGGCUAUCCACCACACAUGUCCGUGGCCACCACGGCGGGAACCGGGCUCACCAUCACUUACCACUAGAGAUGUCAAACCACCCCCCUCCUAACCCAGGCCCCACUGCGGCCUCCCUGCCCUGCUCCAGCCUCGGUCUGUUGUGCAAGAGCCAGAGGGGACUUACGAUCACGGAGCCACACGCCCAGGCCCAACCCAGGCCCAGGAGCUCCACCCUAGGGAAACGCCUAAGUCAGAACAGAGCACUCCUAACCCCCCGGGGCAAGGAGGGGAGGCCAGGCAGCCGGAAGGAAACUCCUGAGCUUUUUACGGAAUGCACAAGACAAAAGCACGCUUGCUUUCCAUUAAGCGGAUCCUUUGUGCUGAAACAGAUUUGCAGUCCUGCCAAACCAGACGAUGCUGCUGGCAGGAAGAUGCACAUGGUCUGAUGUUAAUGCAAGAGUGAGAAAACCUCUGUGGCACAGUCAUGGGAGUCCACACAACCUCCCUGGAAAUGGCAAGGAGUUAUAAUUUCCAUUUUACAGAUGAAAAAUGAAAAAGAGGAGAAGGGGAUGCCAUUUGCUCAAGGCUGCUGGAACGCUAGGCUGGCUCUGGGACUAUCACGAAAAGUUUCUAACCCCCCGCCACGGCUCUUCUCACAACACAAGAAUGAGCUCAGAGAGGUUAAUGAACCUGCCAAAGACCCCAGCUGAGAGACUGAGUUGGUUUGCAGAUUCCAAAGCCCACAUUCAUUCCAUUUUAUCUCAUCUUUAGUGGACUUUGAACAUGCCUCAGCCUUCACCUUGACCCUUGGUGAAGGUGCUGAGAACCAAGACCCAGUGCAGCGGUGUCUCUGGAACCUCCUGGAGCUCAGCAGCCGACUCCCAAACCUGGAGGUCCUCACUCUGCACCCUGUGCUCUGCCCUCUGGCUGAUCCUCAGCAUUCCCAGGCAGCCUGGCUCCCUGUAAAGUUGUUUAAACUUCUGUUUAUCAUCAUCUUCCAUCAUUUCUAAUUGUUUUCCUGUGUCCCUUUCUUUUGUAGAGGAUAUAAACUCAGCAUUUUAGCUUUUGAAAUAGAUUUGCUGUGCAGUUUCAUGGCUCUUUAGUGGCUUAAAAUGUAUUGUUCUGUGAGUCUUUCUGUGCCCGUCACAGCAUUCACUGUGGGAAGCAGCAGGACGCCAGCGAUGCUGAUGUUUAUUUGAUUUUAGGGGACUUUAAGGCAUUCCUGGGACCAUACGGAUUCUAAAUAUUCUGCCUCAUUGUCUUCAGAAGCUACUAAAAUAUCCUAGAAAUGAUCAUGUUUCAGCAUGUAAGCUACAUAUUUCACGUUACCUCUUGUAUCCAUCCAUACAUAGCCUCUAUCAAGAGCCUGGCAUAAGCCAAUGUAAUGGUUCUGAAAUGGUAACCACAUGGUUCUUCAAUCACUAAAACCCUUUCCACUCUGAGAUUGGACAUUCAUUGCUAUUUUCUGCCAGGGCUUUGAUUUACAAGACUGUCUAUGAGUUCUGUGUUUAAUAUACAGAACUGGCUGCCCUCAAUGCAUGAGACUUCCUGGUAUUUUUUUCAUGUGAUUAGAUGGAUUACAUUUGUUUCAUAUUUAUUGUUUAGAUAUACAAGUAAUCCUCACUUUGCACAGUGUCAUGUCUGCAUAUUGAAACCCUAUACUCACUUUGUGCAAUCCUUUGGUAAGUGCAAAGUGAGAACACAGGUCUGAUAUGUACAAGUUUCAGUGAACAUGGUACUAUGCAUCAUGAAGACUAUCUGAAGUUGCUUUCAAAUAAAAUUUGGAUAAGGAC
rnacentral:lncRNA from 1 species